rnacentral:rRNA from 1 species
CCUACGGGUGGCAGCAGUGAGGAAUAUUGGUCAAUGGACGCAAGUCUGAACCAGCCAUGCCGCGUGCAGGAAGACGGCUCUAUGAGUUGUAAACUGCUUUUGUACGAGGGUAAACUCAGAUACGCGUAUCUUUCUGCAAGUAUCGUACGAAUAAGGACCGGCUAACUCCGUGCCAGCAGCCGCGGUAAUACGGAGGAUUCAAGCGUUAUCCGGAUUUAUUGGGUUUAAAGGGUGCGUAGGCGGUCGGAUAAGUUAGGGGGGAAAUCCCGAGGCUCAACGUCGGAAUUGCAGCUGAUACUGGUCGGCUAGAGAGUAGUUGCGGUAGGCGGAAUGUAUGGUGUAGCGGUGAAAUGCUUAGAGAUCAUACAGAACACCGAUUGCGAAGGCAGCUUACCAAGCUACUUCUGACGUUGAGGCACGAAGGCGUGGGGAGCAAACAGGAUUAGAUACCCUGGUAGUC